AGCGAACGCCGGCGGCAUGCCUAACACAUGCAAGUCGCACGGGGGGGCUUCGGCCUCCCAGUGGCGGACGGGUGAGGAACGCGUAGGGACCUGUCGAGGGGUGGGGGAUAACCGCGGGAAACUGCGGCUAAUACCGCAUGACGCCGCGGCGUGACAGCCGGGGCCAAAGGCGAAAGCCGCCCGCCGAGGGGCCUGCGUCCGAUUAGCUGGUUGGCGGGGUAGCGGCCCACCAAGGCGUCGAUCGGUAGCUGGUCUGAGAGGGUGAUCAGCCACACCGGGACUGAGACACGGCCCGGACUCCUACGGGAGGCAGCAGUGGGGAAUAUUGGACAAUGGGCGCAAGCCUGAUCCAGCAAUGCCGCGUGGGUGAAGAAGGUCUUCGGAUUGUAAAGCCCUUUCGGCGGGGACGAUGGUGACGGUACCCGCAGAAGAAGCCCCGGCUAACUUCGUG
rnacentral:rRNA from 1 species